AGAGCUGAUAAUGCUACUUACUCCUCUUAUCAUAACCAGAGACCAGCCCACGAUGAUAUGCCUUUCUCUUAUGUUAACGAGACGUACGGCGAAAAUCAUCACCUGUAGACCUAACCUCGUUACAUGAAUGAGGCAGAAGGCCUGUGGUUUUACGUCAGUUUUGCUGACUAUGAACUUGUGCUAAAAUAAUAAAAGAAGAGGUGCUAAAUUUUUAACGUAGCAAGACGGUUUGCUAGUUUGAGCUUUAAAACAGUUUAAAAAGCGUGCGCUGAUUUACCUGGCUUACAUAGGCUAGAAUUUUACCGAAAUUUCCCCACUAAAUAAGUUUUGAAAAGUAACUGGUUGGCGAAAUUGUCGAAAUUGAAGCUACGUACAGAAGUACAACAAAAUGACGACAUUCAACUUUACCAGACACCGGAAACAAAGAUUUCAACUUGGAGCUGUUUUCAUUUGAGUGUCGAAAAGUAAUUGGUUUUGCAUCAACUACGCUUCACGAUUGGCUUAAAAAAUCCUGGUAAUUUCGAAUUUGCACCUAGAGUAUUGAAUAAAUUUUAUAGUUUAUCUCAUUUCAAA